rnacentral:rRNA from 1 species
AUUGAACGCUGGCGGCAUGCCUUACACAUGCAAGUCGAACGGUAACAGGUCUUCGGAUGCUGACGAGUGGCGAACGGGUGAGUAAUACAUCGGAACGUGCCCGAUCGUGGGGGAUAACGAGGCGAAAGCUUUGCUAAUACCGCAUACGAUCUACGGAUGAAAGCGGGGGAUCUUCGGACCUCGCGCGGACGGAGCGGCCGAUGGCAGAUUAGGUAGUUGGUCGGAUAAAAGCUUACCAAGCCGACGAUCUGUAGCUGGUCUGAGAGGAUGAUCAGCCACACUGGGACUGAGACACGGCCCAGACUCCUACGGGAGGCAGCAGUGGGGAAUUUUGGACAAUGGGCGAAAGCCUGAUCCAGCCAUGCCGCGUGCAGGAUGAAGGCCUUUGGGUUGUAAACUGCUUUUGUACGGAACGAAAAGCCUCUUUCUAAUAAAGAGGGGUCAUGACGGUACCGUAAGAAUAAGCACCGGCUAACUACGUG